GAAUGAAGAACGCAGCGAAAUGCGAUAAGUAAUGUGAAUUGCAGAAUUCAGUGAAUCAUCGAAUCUUUGAACGCACAUUGCGCCCGUCAGUAUUCUGGCGGGCAUGCCUGUUCGAGCGUCAUUACGCCCCUCAAGUCCCCUGUGGACUUGGUGUUGGGGAUCGGCGAGGCUGGUUUUCCAGCACAGCCGUCCCUUAAAUUAAUUGGCGGUCUCGCCGUGGCCCUCCUCUGCGCAGUAGUAAAACACUCGCAACAGGAGCCCGGCGCGGUCCACUGCCGUAAAACCCCCCAACUUUUUAUAGUUGACCUCGAAUCAGGUAGGACUACCCGCUGAACUUAAGCAUAUCAAUAAGCGGAGGA
rnacentral:misc_RNA from 1 species